rnacentral:rRNA from 1 species
ACGAAGGGGGCUAGCGUUGUUCGGAAUUACUGGGCGUAAAGCGCGCGCAGGCGGCUAUCCAAGUCAGUGGUGAAAGCCCGGAGCUCAACUCCGGAACUGCCAUUGAAACUGUUUAGCUUGAGGACGAGAGAGGUGAGUGGAAUUCCCAGUGUAGAGGUGAAAUUCGUAGAUAUUGGGAAGAACACCGGUGGCGAAGGCGGCGACCUGGUCCAUUACUGACGCUGAGGCGCGAAAGCGUGGGGAGCAAACAGGA